AACGUGCCUUUAGGUUCGGAAUAGCUCCUGGAAACGGGUGGUAAUGCCGAAUGUGCCCUUCGGGGGAAAGAUUUAUCGCCUUUAGAGCGGCCCGCGUCUGAUUAGCUAGUUGGUGAGGUAAUGGCUCACCAAGGCGACGAUCAGUAGCUGGUCUGAGAGGAUGACCAGCCACAUUGGGACUGAGACACGGCCCAAACUCCUACGGGAGGCAGCAGUGGGGAAUCUUGCGCAAUGGGCGAAAGCCUGACGCAGCCAUGCCGCGUGGAUGAUGAAGGUCUUAGGAUUGUAAAAUCCUUUCACCGGUGAAGAUAAUGACUGUAGCCGGAGAAGAAGCCCCGGCUAACUUCGUGCCAGCAGCCGCGGUAAUACGAAGGGGGCUAGCGUUGCUCGGAAUUACUGGGCGUAAAGGGAGCGUAGGCGGACAUUUAAGUCAGGGGUGAAAUCCCGGAGCUCAACUUCGGAACUGCCUUUGAUACUGGGUGUCUUGAGUGUGAGAGAGGUAUGUGGAACUCCGAGUGUAGAGGUGAAAUUCGUAGAUAUUCGGAAGAACACCAGUGGCGAAGGCGACAUACUGGCUCAUUACUGACGCUGAGGCUCGAAAGCGUGGGGAGCAAACAGGAUUAGAUACCCUGGUAGUCCACGCCGU
rnacentral:rRNA from 1 species